rfam:Echinostoma caproni strain Egypt genome assembly, scaffold: ECPE_scaffold0032706
GCACUGCUGACGAGUCUCAAACAGGACGAAACAGCUGUCCAGUGC